GCUCAAAUCAUGCCAUUUUACAUGAAUUUCACAGCUAAUCCCUAAUAAAAAUUUAUGAUUUUCCAGUAGCCAUGGAUCUAUCAGCAUCCCUUCUGUUUUUUGGAGACAUUACAGAAAAGUACAUUUUAACAGUAUAAAACUAUUUUCAAAGUGUGAAUCAGUUAAAUUGAAGAUUUAAAAAACAAACUGGCCUUUUUGGACCAAUUUUUGUGUGUGUGUUCGUGAGAUUGAAAGCUUAGACUGAGGAAGGCAACUCGAUCUUUUGUUCUGAUGCUUUCUGCCUAUAUAUAUUUCCUUAAGAGGAGACUGAACAAUUCUGCCUAUGGUCUAUUUGGACAGAAUGUAUUCAAAAUGCUAAUACAUUCAUGUUAUAAUAAAGGAAAUAUGGCAUCACCUUUAAAACCUGUCAUCAAUCCAGUAACAAGUUAUGUUUAAACACAGUAAUUCAUAUGACCAUUUAUAUAAUAGACCAAAAUAUCAUCUAUUGAAAGCCAAGUUAAAACAAAACUUGUUCUAGUGGGAAGAUAAGCUUUUCAAAAUGAACUAUAGUAGUUGUAAAUUUUUUGGUAUUAUUCUCUAUUGAAAUUACAUAACCUAUUUCAUCAGUGCUUAAUGAGCCCUGAA
rnacentral:lncRNA from 1 species